rnacentral:rRNA from 1 species
AUACGUAGGGAGCGAGCGUUACCCGGAAUUACUGGGCGUAAAGAGCACGUAGGCGGUUGGAUAAGUCUUCUGUGAAAGCUCCCGGCUCAACUGGGAGAGGUCAGGGGAUACUGUUCGACUUGAGGGCUGUAGAGGUAAGCGGAAUUCCCGGUGUAGCGGUGAAAUGCGUAGAUAUCAGGAGCAACACCAGCGGCGAAAGCGGCUUACUGGGCAGUGCCUGACGCUGAGGUGCGAGAGCGUGGGGAGCAAACUGGAUUAGAAACCCCGGUAGUCC